CUGCGUGCCUUUUGAAUUGAUAUGAUUUCAACGCGCGUGCGCGUGCGAGUCGCAUUCAAAGUUGUCCGAUUCAAAGACAGGAGCGCACGCGAGCAGAUGGAAACCAUGGAAACGAGGAAACCUCUUCAACUGACAAACAGCAAAAAAUAGCGUCUCUCUGUUUUUCCACUGCUUUCAGUCUAGAAAAUCAUCAUGAUGUCCUGCUACAGCCCUGUCCCAAGACAACCUCCACGGCUAUGAACUCGACUAAUGAGAUAUCAUUUGACCCUGUGAUUCUUCAGGACCAGAUCUUGAUGCCAUCCACACCCAGUACAUGACAAAGAUGCUGUGACAAAAAGCAGUCAAGCCACUGCAUGUGAUGUGGAAGCCUCUAUGAAGACAUGGCUCCGUAAUCCCUGGGACAGGGAUGGGGACGGCAAGGAA